UCCUCUUAUUCUGUAAAUAACGUACUAAACAUCAAUAAAAACCUUGUUCUUAUCAGCUUAAUAUCUGAUACGAGCCGUAUUUGGACUCACGAUAUUAAUCUCAUUUUUGGCCCGAGACAGUGUGCAUGAAACUCGUCUCGGCACUGUCAGGGCUUGCCCUGGUAUUGCACUACCUCCAGGUGCAGCCCACCCGUC